rnacentral:rRNA from 1 species
UACGGGGGGAGCAAGCGUUGUUCGGAUUUACUGGGCGUAAAGGGCGCGUAGGCGGCCUCUGCAAGUCGACUGUGAAAUCUCCGGGCUUAACCCGGAAAGGUCAGCCGAUACUGCAGGGCUAGAGUGCAGAAGGGGCAACUGGAAUUCUCGGUGUAGCGGUGAAAUGCGUAGAUAUCGAGAGGAACACCUGCGGCGAAGGCGGGUUGCUGGGCUGACACUGACGCUGAGGCGCGAAAGCGUGGGGAGCGAACAGG